rnacentral:rRNA from 1 species
UACGUAGGGGGCUAGCGUUGUCCGAAAUCAUUGGGCGUAAAGCGCGUGUAGGCGGUCCGGUAAGUCCGCUGUGAAAGUCGGGGGCUCAACCCUCGGAUGCCGGUGGAUACUGUCGGGCUUGAGUACGGAAGAGGCGAGUGGAAUUCCUGGUGUAGCGGUGAAAUGCGUAGAUAUCAGGAGGAAUACCGAUGGCGAAGGCAGGUCUCUGGGCUGACACUGACGCUCAUGCACGAAAGCGUGGGGAGCAAACAGG